CAGAGAAACUCGCCCGCAAGGGUGACUCUCCAACCCUAUGUUAAUUAUACCUUUGUUGCUUUGGCGAGCCGCUUCGGCCACCGGCUUCACGCUGGUGAGUGCUCGCCAGAGGACCCUAAACUCUGAAUAUUAUUGUCGUCUGAGUACUAUAUAAUAGUUA
rnacentral:misc_RNA from 1 species